CGGUCCCGCCGCGCCUCCCGCUCCGGGGCUGCGGCUCCGCCCGGCCCCGCCGGGUUCCCCAUGGAGAGGGGGCUUGGGCAGGCCCCGCUCCCGCUUACUCGCCGGCUGCGGCCCGGCCGGCGCGUACCUGGAGAGCUGCGGCAGAACUCGUUCGCUGAAAAACACCGUUGUCUUCGGGCAUGAAACGCGCAAUGCAGGUCUGCGUAGAUCUGCCGAGAACCUGUCAGUUGGCUUACAUCAAACGCAUGAGCCGUUUGGGUCUGUGAAACUAAGAGGAGUCAGUGGACCUGACUGUUCACAGGAUCACAAAUGGAACCAAUACAGCCUUGUUGAGUAGCCACCUGUUCAGACAGAACCAGCAGAGGACUCAGAAACUUCUCCCUCAUAGCAAUCUGGCAAAGAUACAGACCUCACUCUUUUAUGUCAACUUUCUGGCUUGCUGCCACCUGAUCUAUGGCUACUUUGGAACACAAAAGAAAGGCACUUAAGCUGCAGGACUGCUGCUGACCUACCAUCAGAGGCAACUGCAUGCCCGGUACAACUCUCCACUGAGUUGUCAGUUUGUUUGCAGCUGAAACACUCUGUGGACAUUUUGAGUAAAAUAUAUCGAACAAUGUGUCUCUUCACCGUUUCUGUUGCAACAUUCUUACCACAAGGAAACAGUGGGGAGCAUUUUUGGUUUCCACUUUCUAUAGCUUUUUCUAAGGAAAUGCUGUUGUGGGUUGCUCUAAAAACACAGUUGUAGGUACUGUGGUAUGAUUUAAGCAUUUAAUCUGUCCCGAUUACUUUAUAACAGAGUGCAGAACACCAUUCUUAUGAGCUGUUUGUAUUAAAUCUCACACUUAAAAUGCACUUUUUAUCAUCAAAGUGUUUUCCAAGCAUUAAUUUUCCAACAUCUUAUAAAAUUACUUGGCAAAACAAAGUGAUAUUAUCACCAUUUUACAGAUAAAGAAACUAAGGUGAAGAGAAUCAUAGUCAGAGCUGGGACUGGGAGUUUCAGGUUUUGUCUUGUGUUCAGAACAAUACUUCAUGCUUCCCCUCUAAAGACUAACUAUUGCCAAUAAUAGUCUGACUUUAUCAUCCUUCAGGGCAUGCUGCAAGGCACAUUUGCUUUCCCAAACUGAGAGAAGCUGGGAGAACAGCUCUGGUAAGAAAGCCAACAAGCCUUCAGGUACUGGGUUAUUAAUGCCUGGGCGAUGCCUGCUCUUGGAGUAGUCUAUUUGGAUAAUUGUGUUUUAAGAAUGUGCUGAGAAGUGCUUUGAGAAAAGUGUUCCUUUUUAACUAAUGAAUGUUUACAGGGAAUAAAUAUGUUAAAAUAAUGCAUCAGUAUUCUUCACAUCAAUAGCUACUCUCAUUUAUGUCCAUUUUCUGAAACGGGGGGAAUCAACAGAAGAGAGGCAGAUGAAACAAUUGUAAGUAUGACAUAUACCUUCUUGAAGGGCAUAAAUGAAGAAAUUGCUAAGUUAUUAUAGCUUGAAAGCAAGUAAUUUUUUUGGUAUUUUCUGAAGAGCGGAGAAAAUAGGUAGACAAGUAUGAUAUUAUGGUAAAAACUGCUUCUGGAGGGUACUUAUGUUCCCUUUCUGAGGUGCCUGCUAUCUGUGAUUCCUCAAAACAUUAUUGUAAAGAUGAAAAACAUUCACUACAGCCUCUGAAGAAUUUUAAAAUUUGCACAAUGUUUCAAGAGAAUAAAUGUGACCUAUUAGCGAAGAAUACUUUUCA